rnacentral:lncRNA from 1 species
GCUUUUUUGGAAAAAUUUCUCUCUUCGCCUUCUUCUUCCAAUCCGACCCUUCAAACCCUUACUCUUCUGAUUCCUCCUCAACGAUUCAACAAUUGAACAACCCCAAACGUAAUACUCAACCAGAUCUCGCGUGUUCUAUAUAUUGGGAGCAACUCAUAUUUUUUGGUAUUCCAGUUUCACAUAAUGAUUUGUAAGUUCUCUUUAUUCUCCAUUAUGAAUUUCUUAUUCAUCUAUGUCUAUUGUUACGUUGUGGUUAUAUGUUUUAGAUUUUCUCACGUUCUCUCUUAUUUGGCAUUUCUUGCGUUUUGUCUCUCUUACUGUUUCCCUUAACGAUUUGACUUCAACGAUCUCUUUUUUUUUGUUUUUUUCUUCUAUCGCUUCUGGAUCCCGGUCCUUUUGAAAAUCAGAACAUCGAUCUGACUUGUGUUUUUAAAUAUUAUACAUAUCGGUAGCCGGAUAGGGCAGGUUGGAGGUGACUUUGGUGCCUGUUUAAAUGGGAUGGUUCAGCAGUUUUACAUGCUAUUGCAUGUGCCAUAUAAGCAUGAGGAAGAUGAUGUGAUGGGAUCGGUUUUUAUCGGAGGGGAUAUGGGUAGUGAGAGGAUUGAGAUUGUUGCUAUGAGAGAUGAUUUAAGGUCUUUCAGUGCAAGGUUGAAGAAUCAUGGGUUUUCCGAGGAUGAUAAUGUUGUUGCUACUAGAACUGUUGAUGAAGAGGAUGGGGGGUUUAAUUUUGGUUCUAAUGGUAUUGUCGGUACGCGGCAGGUAACGAAAAAUUUUCAUUUGUGAUUGUUAUUUGGUUGUUGGAUCUGUGAGUUUCUAUUUCUAAAUCGCUCAAUCAUUUUUUGCUUUCACUUUUCAGCAAGUUUGACUAUUUAUUGUAUGAUUUGUUGGUAAACUUCAAACUUGUAUAUGUGUUUUAUUAUUGGUUUGAGGUUUUGUUUUAUUAUUUUGUAGACUGGUCAAUUUGCUUUUAGGAAAACAAAUAUGUUUU